rnacentral:lncRNA from 1 species
UCGAUGGUCUUUAUUGAUCAUUUGUCUGCAUAAUAUACCAGAAUUACAAUUUCUAUAUUAAGAAGCUAAUUAUGCCUAUUCAAUACAUAAUCACUAUACAAGAAAUCAUUUUCCAAAUAUGUAUCUAUAUGUGCUGUCAUGUUCUGUCAUAGUGGUACAAAAAUAGAGUUGAAGAGGGAAAAUUUUUUAGAUGAUGAUUUUACUCCUCCUCCUAUAACUAUAAAAUCCAAUGGGGACCAAAAAAAAUAUAUUUGCUUAACGGUGGAAAGAGAAACUAAAAGGGAAUAUCAUAUACUUGGAAGUAGAGCUCAGAUGGAUUUUUUGGUGGCUUUUAAUGUUACUGAAGGAAAUAAGAUAGUGUCCUUUGAUCAUCUUGAAGUUGAAGAUAAUAAGCAUAUUGAAGAAUCAUUGGUCCUUUCAGAAUAAGAAUAAGUAUAAAUAUGCCA